rnacentral:rRNA from 1 species
UACGUAGGGAGCAAGCGUUGUUCGGAUUUACUGGGCGUAAAGGGCGCGUAGGCGGCAAUUCAAGUCAGCUGUGAAAUCUCCGGGCUUAACUCGGAACGGUCAGCUGAUACUGCUUUGCUAGAGUGCGGAAGGGGCAAUCGGAAUUCUCGGUGUAGCGGUGAAAUGCGUAGAUAUCGGGAGGAACACCUGAGGCGAAGGCGGGUUACUGGGCUGAUACUGACGCUGAUGCGCGAAAGCCAGGGGAGCAAACGGGG